GUAGAAGUACACUUAUAUUUCAGUAUUCAAUGAUACUCUGUUCAUGGUGACGAAAUUCACACUAGUAAUCAAUGCUGGAAAUUCCUUAGAGUCAGUCCAACACAUGCUAUUGUAUUUAAUAAUUGGAUUGUGUAUUCAAGGUCAUGCGCUCUUCAUCAUAUGCAGAUACUUACAGAGAAAUUAAACCACCACAAUAAUAUAACUACAAUAUUGUAUGUUUUUCCUGGGGCACAUGGAGCAAAAUGAGAAAAAACAAUCAUAUGGCUCUCAAAUGGAUUUUCCUUCACACGCAGUCAAAAUAUGUCACCGCUCAUUUUUGUGCAAGUUUUUCAAGUUCUGAAGAUUAUGAGUUGAGAAGAAAUGACAGCAGUGGCCUUGGAAAUUGGUUAGAAGACAUGCAAAGAUGUGGUGAUGAUGGCUUAGAUCUCUCUUCUAUCUUAUUCUGCCAUGAUCCUUUUAAAAUGCAAAUAUAAGACCAGACAGAAACACAGCGAUGUGCUUUCUACAACAAAAGACUUGGAUGGUGUUUGAUGAUAUCUCAAAUAUAUUUUGUUUCUAGAAUUUUCAUUGUACUGAAGGCUAAAAAGGAUAUUCCUGCAGCCACAGUGUCCUUUCCACCUACCUUCUCAACGCCACAGGCACCAUUUACUGGAGACAGCAAACAGCAUCCUGCUCCUACUUGAACUUAAUUUUAUCCUGAUUACAUUUUGCUUUAAAACAUACAAUAAAUGGGAGACCCUGAAAGUAAAUCCAAAAGAUCCAUUCCCUAACUUCUGUUAUUAAAUUAACACUUAUUAUAAUUUUGCUUAACUUUUUGUUUGUGUAUCCAUAUAUUAUUAAAACAUAUUUCAGUAUUGUUAAUUACAUCAUAAACUAUGUGAUAAAUACCACUGUCACAUUAUUUGGAAAUCUGAGGGUAUAUAUGAUAUGUCCUUUAGGAAAACUCUUCUAGACACUGCUAACCUUGAAUACCUUCUUUUCUGUGUCCUAUCAGCCAUAUUGAUGAUUUCUACUGACAUUAUUUUGAAGCAAUACUCUUCAAAGCUGUACUGAAUAUAUUUCUGUAAUGAUGUAAAAUGUUUUCCACUUUGAAAUGUUUUUACAAGUGGCAAUAUUCUAACUCUAUAACUGCUCUAAUAGUAUAACCAUUUGCCAUUAAUCUUCCUUAAUAUUAAUUUUCUUUUUUCUCCAUUCCCGUCUCUGAAAAUCUAAACUGUGUCUCAGGAGCUAUAAUAAUAAGAACCAGGCCAACAAAAAACCCUAUAUUCUGACAUAUUCCAAAUCUGAUUUAAACCAAUCUUUACACAUGGACAUGUUUGACUUGGUCAAUAUUUAUUUAAAAAAUGAAGUGCACGUACGGUGCAGAUUUGCCAUUGUUAGAACACUGGCUACAAUCAUGAAUGUCUUCUACUUUGACAAAACCACUCCUGAUUUUACUGGCAGGUUUUGCCUGAUAACACAGGAUCUGAACCAACCAUUUGUCAUUUGUCAGAUUUAGAGAUUCUGCAGUUCUAGCUGUAGAGUUUGUUUUAUUGCACUCAAUUAGUGAAAAGUAUGUCCUUUCAGUCAUUUUAGCUUUCUAGUACAACUCCUUUGCAACUAUUCAGAGCAGUGAAACAGGUCUUGCUUGUUUAAUUAGGGGUUUCGUCCCAAAAUAAAUGAAAUAACAGAAAUACGAAGCCCCACCUAGAAAGCUCAAAAAAGUGCAUGUAACACCGGGCUCCAGGCUAAACAGAAAAAAAAGCUCUGACACCAGCACGGACUUCUUUGGACAAAGAAAGAAGGAUUAGCUGGGGGGGAGUGAUACGUUAGACACUUAGAAUGUUUAGGUCUAUUCUUGCGCUCUUACAUUACUCAGCAGCAACUGCAUUUUAUCUGAAAACUUAAAAUUUAACAGCAUCUGACGAAAAUGCUAAGCUGUUACAUAUCAAAACUCAACAGGGUCUGACCUAUACUGUCAUUUUUGCUUAUUCACCAGUAAAUGAAGGCAAGCUUUCUCAUGCAUAAAGAGUUUCUGUCAAUGGGGAUCUCUUAACAGAGUUGCAGGCUCCCCAAGGUUCACCAAAAGGUAAGCAAGAAAGCUCCUCCCUUUCCAGGCUUUGCACCACAGGCCAUAUUUAGUAAAGCAAUGUAAGAAAGUGACCUGACUUUACAGAGAUAUAAAUUUUUACAAAGUUACUACUAUCCAAUGCUUGUGCACAGUAAAAGUGCAGUUGGGAGUGAUUCUAAGUUUCACAUGCUUAAAACUUUUUUGAUUUAAUGUAACUCAUCCUCACAGAUUUCCUUGGUGUAAAAAAAAAAAAAAAAAAGAAAGAAAGAAAGAAAAAAAAAGAAAAAAAAAUCAGACUUUCCAAAUUAAACUUUCUACCCUGUCAACUACAAAACUGACUUUUUUACUUGGAUAAGUUUAUGGAACAAGAGGAUAAUGUAAGAAUAUACAGUAACUCUAGAAAAUAACAACUUCCUAGUAUUUUCCAAUGGCUUUGAACUGCUAAUGCAAGCCUUGUGUCUACUGCACGGGGCUGUAAACGUUACCCAGAGACAUGGCUUCAUUUUCAGUGUUAGAUAUAAGCAAAGAGCAAUCAGAUUGAAGGUUUCAAGAGCUUUGCCAGGCAUGGCAUGGAUGUCACGGGGAAAUUAGACUGACGGAUUGCAAUUACAGUAAUGGGGGAAGGCACAGUCCUUAGAUUCUGGCACAUACUAGUAAAAGUCUUUCUGAGGCCAGCCUGCAGCAGUCAUUGCUGUGAUAUCAUGUGGGGGUACCCAAUGAAGUCUGAAAGGAGAUAUAAAGCACAGAGUAGGACAACACAGUCUUUUGAAACUGGAAAGUUUCCCAGGAUUACUUUACAGUUCCAUGGGAAGCCUUUCACUGUCCUACUGAAAAUCCUGCCAAGGCUGCUAAAUACAGAAUCAUUUUCAAACCCAUUAAUUUUUUUUUUUAUUUUGGUAUUUUUUUCUACUUCUUAGAUUAUUAUUUUAUUAUUAUCUUUAUAUUUUAUAUAUGAAGGACAAGAUGAAAGAGUUUUGGAACUCUUUCAUUGUCUAAGAUAUUUCAUUUUCAGGAAGCCUGACUUCUAAAUUGAAUCUUAACACUACACAGUGUUAUCCUUGUAUUCACUACUGAGUGGUAUGCUGUUUUCCUUAAAAUAAGCCACAAAAUUAUUUAAGUAUUAUUGAAUACAAAAGCAUGUACUAUACAGCUUAUACAAACAUUACUGAAUAUUGAAUAUUUAAUUGAAGAUCAUUUUAAAUAUUCAAUAGAAACAAUGAAAUUGAUGUACCAAAUAAAAUGUGGGAAAAAAAAAAAUAUUUGAAUAUUCAAAACAUACCCAAAGACUGACAAAAGACAAACUUGUCCUACAUUGUUCAAACCCCAUGCUACAGGAAAUAUGGAUAUUAUAUUUAGUAUUAAAAAAAAAAAAACAAAAGGAGCUUUGUCUCUUCCUUUGCCUUUUCUAUUAUGCAUACAUCUUGCUCUCCUUAGAUGACAAAAAAAUAGGUAUUUCUGAAAAUCCAUUAAUGUAUGUCUAGAUUCUGUUUCAGUAUUGAGCAGACUGAACUGUUAGUUUGCUAUUUAGAAAUACUGGUACUACUGGCUAUUAUUAGCAAUAAUUAUCUCUACUUAUUCAUAAAAUCUAUUUUGUCUUUAGCAACCAAAACUGGUUUAUUUGUUAGACUGAGUUUUUGUUAUGCAACAUCCAGCUCAGAAUGAAUGAGUCAUUCAUUGAGAUCUCUCCAUCCUUUCAGCUUCUUUAUUUCCACUAGUGAAAUAACACAAUAACACAAUUUCAUUUUAAUUUCAUUUCUAUUGAAAUUUUCCUAUGCUGUAAUUCCAGUUUCAGCAUGGUCUUUCAAUUGCUUGUAUGGUCCCUAGACCACAGGAAUUCUCAAUAACUUUACUCACAUACCAGGUUGAUUUGGAAGCUGUCAAGAUAUUCUUUCUCACAGUAUCCAAAGGAGCCUACUCUGUCUCAGCAUGCACAUAUAAAUAUCCACAAAGAGAAUCAAAAGUGGAGAAGUUUCCAUACACUGGGACUGAAACAAUAGUAAUACACAGACACGCAUACUGUGAGUGUUAUACAAGUAUUUUACAUAUGGUAGCAACUAAUUUUUAUUAUGAUUGUGGCUAUUUUGCCAUAUUUUAAAAAUACCUUCUGGACUUAGCAUGAUUUUUACACUCUAAGCAGUAUUUUUUAAACUAACAAUUUUGCCGUUAGUCAAAAAAUAUCAGAUGUUUGCUUGGAGGGAAUAUCUUAAUCCUCUUCUACAACUUCAUUUUUAAGGGAAAAUAAUUUUAAUGAGAAGCUCAAGGAGAAAAAAAAAAAUCUCCUGCAAAAUAAGCAGAAUCAGCAGAUUUUUAAAAUAUCUAAUACAGUAACCCUGCCCCAGAAACGGGUUUGCUAGAACAUUUGGACAGACCUCACUCACAUCAGAGAGCUCCUGGAAUUUUUACCACAUUGGGACACCUAACAUAAGGCUGUUUGUGGAAAAGGAAUCAUCAGUUUUUACCUGUCAUAAAAACAACUCGUGUUCAGCUAUGGACACUCACAGCUAUCACAUCCCAGGUGGUCAGGCCACUUUGGUACCUGUCAGGCUGAUAGAGAAAUUGUUCUGGCGCAGGAACCAAUAAGCAUCAUUUAACCACAUUCCUGGACUCAGUUCUGGUUCUAGCAGUGCAGGAAAGAUAAAGAUGAACUGGAGCAAGUUUGGUGUUUACCACUGCAAUGGCUGGGGCUGGAGCACUCAGUCCACGAGGAGAGGCUAGAAUUCUGCUCAGCCUGGAGAAGAGAUGACUUUUGAUGGGUGCCUGUGACAUUCAAGACUGGAAUACAAUCACUACUUGUAGUUCAACUGCAAGAAGUCUGAGAAAUUUAUAAUGUGAAUGCCAAUAAUAACUUCUCAAGACUGAUUCAUAAAAUUAAUAACACAUUAUUCAAAAUUACUAAAAUAUUUGAAGCUUUGGGGUGGUCUCAGAAGUAUCAAUUCAGCUAGGUGAUUUUCAUUUACCUCUGUGUCACAUCUACAUCACAUCUACACAUAUCUGAAACAAAGAUCAUCAAGAUGUUUGCACAUUUUUCCAAUGUGCUCUACUUUAUUUUAUUUUAUUUUACUUAGAAUUGCAC
ensembl:lncRNA